AGGAGAAAUCAGCAUCCAGCUAAGAAAUUCGAGUUUUGUGGGCGUGACACGUGUCGAGGUAAGGAAAAUGCGCCGUUUCAUUAACUGCAAUUGAUACGAGCUUUUAUGAAUGUGUUUGGGCCUCAAGUGUGGAUGAAGAAACCAGUCAACCAGCCCAAUAGAAAUCAACUUUAACGUUUAGGUUUAAGCGUCACCUUCCAUCCGACGUCGUACGAAUCCUUCUCAAUCAAGAACCAUAUAGCCAUUAAUGGAGUUUCAGGAAGAUGUUCGAGAUGUAUCUUCCUGAUGAAUCUUUGGAUCAAUUUUUUUAUUAGUUUCUGGAUCUAGCUUUGUUCGCGUCCGUUCAUCUAAGAUUCUUCUCCUCUAAAACGUUAUGGAUACAUCAAUUCAUCGCCAUUAAGAAGCAUUUACUCCUUUGGACUACCACAUUCAAACAUUCAAUGCUUUGUAUUCCUCUUCCAGGCGGUGUUUAUAUACUUAAUCUUCUAAACAUCUCGCAAAGACGUUUCGACAUGCCCGUGACUAUUGAAUACAGUAUCACUUUCAAUAUAGAAGCUGUUUAAUGGCUAAAUCAUCGAUUCUUCUUGCAUAUUCUGAGACUGGAAGCUGUUCUUCCACCGUCAAGGAAUCCAUGACCAUAGCUAUAUCGGUUCACAUGAUCCAGCAAGACCCAAACUGUUCAUAUUCAUUGGUACAUCCAAUUCCUUCCUACAAAGGAAGGAGCAAGGAAGACAAUAAGACGACAGUAAACCAAAAUCGAGACUACUGUAUGUUUAGAUAAGCACUGGAUAUUGAAGAAGAAGCAUGAUAUGGAGGACUCCGGAAUGCAUGAAACCAUCUGUACUUUCUUACGGAUUUUGCUUUCUUUUUCCUCUCAUCUGUAGUCCAGAAGGUGUGGAGAGUUGAUGGGCGUGAAUCUGAUAAUGGUUGAUCAAAAGCCGCAGUCAACAAAGCAACAUAGCUUCUGUUCAGGCUCCGAGACACUGAAACCGCCGUCAUGUAUCCUAUGGCAUUCACAACCCUUCUGUAUUCAGAUCCAUGAUCAAUUUGAUGGGUAUUUCCAGGUGGUGGUGAUGACGGUGGCAGAGGAGGGGUUGCAGUGGUGGUGCUCAUGAAGAGCAUAUCGGGCAUGGAGAAUCAGAAGAUGGCGAGGGACCGGAGAAGAUGUGGAAUGGUUCGUCGACCAGUGACAUGGAACAGAUGGAUCUGGGACUAUUCUAAUGAUCACCACUAUUCUAUUUAACUGGGAUUGCUUUCAUACGUAAGUUGUUGUUUAUCAUAGUUUUAAGAAUAUUUGUCUGUGUUUAAGAUUUAAGAUUACACUUUUUGGUUUUAACCUUAUCACAAACUCAGUCCAAAACAUGGAGAAUUCUUUUUUACCAAAU